rnacentral:rRNA from 1 species
UACGUAGGGGGCAAGCGUUGUCCAGAUUUAUUGGGCGUAAAGAGCGUGUAGGCGGCCAAGCAGGUCCGCUGUGAAAACUCGAGGCUCAACCUCGAGACGUCGGUGGAAACCGUUUGGCUAGAGUCCGGAAGAGGAGAGUGGAAUUCCCGGUGUAGCGGUGAAAUGCGCAGAUAUCGGGAAGAACACCCGUGGCGAAGGCGGCUCUCUGGGACGGUACUGACGCUGAGACGCGAAAGCGUGGGGAGCGAACAGG